rnacentral:rRNA from 1 species
UACAGAGGGUGCGAGCGUUGUCCGGAAUCACUGGGCGUAAAGGGCGCGUAGGUGGCGAGCCAAGUCCAUGGUGAAAGCUCGAUGCUCAACAUCGAGUCGGCCACGGAUACUGGUGCGCUUGAGCACUGUAGAGGCUAAUGGAAUUCCGGGUGUAGCGGUGGAAUGCGUAGAGAUCCGGAAGAACACCGGUGGCGAAGGCGGUUAGCUGGGCAGUUGCUGACACUGAGGCGCGACAGCGUGGGGAGCAAACAGGG